rnacentral:rRNA from 1 species
AGAGUUUGAUCCUGGCUCAGGACGAACGCUGGCGGCGUGCUUAACACAUGCAAGUCGAACGAGAAUCUGUGGAUCGAGGAUUCGUCCAAGUGAAGCAGAGGACAGUGGCGGACGGGUGAGUAACGCGUGAGGAACCUGCCUUUCAGAGGGGGACAACAGUUGGAAACGACUGCUAAUACCGCAUGAUACGUUUUAGGGGCAUCCCUGAGACGUCAAAGAUUUAUCGCUGAAAGAUGGCCUCGCGUCUGAUUAGCUAGUUGGUGAGGUAACGGCCCACCAAGGCAACGAUCGGUAGCCGGACUGAGAGGUUGAACGGCCACAUUGGGACUGAGACACGGCCCAGACUCCUACGGGAGGCAGCAGUGGGGAAUAUUGCACAAUGGGGGAAACCCUGAUGCAGCGACGCCGCGUGGAGGAAGAAGGUCUUCGGAUUGUAAACUCCUGUUGUUGAGGAAGAUAAUGACGGUACUCAACAAGGAAGUGACGGCUAACUACGUGCCAGCAGCCGCGGUAAAACGUAGGUCACAAGCGUUGUCCGGAUUUACUGGGUGUAAAGGGAGCGCAGGCGGGCGAUCAAGUUGGAAGUGAAAUCCAUGGGCUCAACCCAUGAACUGCUUUCAAAACUGAUUGUCUUGAGUAGUGCAGAGGUAGGCGGAAUUCCCGGUGUAGCGGUGGAAUGCGUAGAUAUCGGGAGGAACACCAGUGGCGAAGGCGGCCUACUGGGCACCAACUGACGCUGAGGCUCGAAAGUGUGGGUAGCAAACAGGAUUAGAUACCCUGGUAGUCCACACCGUAAACGAUGAUUACUAGGUGUUGGAGGAUUGACCCCUUCAGUGCCGCAGUUAACACAAUAAGUAAUCCACCUGGGGAGUACGACCGCAAGGUUGAAACUCAAAGGAAUUGACGGGGGCCCGCACAAGCAGUGGAGUAUGUGGUUUAAUUCGACGCAACGCGAAGAACCUUACCAAGUCUUGACAUCCUGCGACGGACAUAGAAAUAUGUUUUUCCUUCGGGACGCAGAGACAGGUGGUGCAUGGUUGUCGUCAGCUCGUGUCGUGAGAUGUUGGGUUAAGUCCCGCAACGAGCGCAACCCUUAUGGUCAGUUACUACGCAAGAGGACUCUGGCCAGACUGCCGUUGACAAAACGGAGGAAGGUGGGGAUGACGUCAAAUCAUCAUGCCCUUUAUGACUUGGGCUACACACGUACUACAAUGGCGUUAAACAAAGAGAAGCAAGACCGCGAGGUGGAGCAAAACUCAGAAACAACGUCCCAGUUCGGACUGCAGGCUGCAACUCGCCUGCACGAAGUCGGAAUUGCUAGUAAUCGCAGAUCAGCAUGCUGCGGUGAAUACGUUCCCGGGCCUUGUACACACCGCCCGUCACACCAUGAGAGCCGGGGGGACCCGAAGUCGGUAGUCUAACCGCAAGGAGGACGCCGCCGAAGGUAAAACUGGUGAUUGGGGUGAAGUCGUAACAAGGUA